AAUGAACGCUGGCGUCAGGCCUAACACAUGCAAGUCGAACGAGUGGCGGACGGUUGAGUAAUGUCUGGGAAACUGCCCGAUGGAGGGGGAUAACUACUGGAAACGGUAGCUAAUACCGCAUACCAUCGGAUGUGCCCAGAUGGGAUUAGCUAGCAGGGGGGGAACGGCUCACCUAGGCGACGAGCCCUAACUGGGCUGAGAGGAUGACCAGCAACUCUGGAACUGAGACACGGUCCAGACUCCUACGGGAGGCAGCAGUGGGGAAUAGUGCACAAUGGGCGCAAGCCUGAUGCAGCCAUGCCGCGUGUAUGAAGAAGGCCUUCGGGUUGUAAAGGACUUUCAGCGAGGAGGCGUUACUCGCAGAAGAAGCACCGGCUAACUCCGUGCCAGCAGCCGCGGUAAUUC
rnacentral:rRNA from 1 species